GCCGGGCGUGGUGGCACGCGCCUGUAAUCCCAGCUACUCAGGAGGCUGAGACAGGAGAAUCGCUUGAACCUGGGAGGUGGAGGUUGCAGUGAGCUGAGAUUGCGCCACUGCACUCCAGCCUGGGUGACAGAGUGAGACCCUAUCUCAA
ensembl:misc_RNA Metazoa_SRP Metazoan signal recognition particle RNA